rnacentral:rRNA from 1 species
AUGCUUCCUCGGAAUAUCGGCAUUGAUGUCGAGUAUACCAGGGAAGACAAACCUCCGCAAAUUGCUGCAGUUCUGCAGUUAUGCGUGGAGGAUCUCGUCCUGGUAUACCACAUCACCGCGACAACCAAAUGGCCCAAGGAACUCCGCCCGCUCCUGCAGGAGAAGAAGCUGUACACCUUUGUUGGCUUCUCCAUUGGAGGCGACAAGGAUAAGCUGAAGUUGUCUGGUUUAGAGAUCAACCCUGACAAGUACGUCGACUUGCAGUGCAAAUGGAGAUUUCCAAACAAUGAAAAGAAGUGGCAGUCUUUGGCUGAGUUUGCAGGCAGCCUCAUCCACCCUUCCUACAAGGAAAAAUGA